AGACCAUGAUGAGGACAUCUUCUCAGCAGUUCCUCGUAUCUCUCCCAUGCUUCAUAUAGUGUUUCACCUUCAUAUUGAGCAAAAUUAUUGAUCUCAUUGCGCAU
rfam:Morus notabilis contig11292, whole genome shotgun sequence.